rnacentral:rRNA from 1 species
UGGGGAAUAUUGGACAAUGGGGGGAACCCUGAUCCAGCCAUGCCGCGUGUGUGAAGAAGGCCUUAUGGUUGUAAAGCACUUUAAGCGAGGAGGAGGGUACUGGUAUUAAUACUACCAGCUACUGGACGUUACUCGCAGAAUAAGCACCGGCUAACUCUGUGCCAGCAGCCGCGGUAAUACAUAGGGUGCGAGCGUUAAUCGGAUUUACUGGGCGUAAAGCGUGCGUAGGCGGCUAAUUGAGUCGGAUGUGAAAUCCCCGAGCUUAACUUGGGAAUUGCAUUCGAUACUGGUUAGCUAGAGUGUGGGAGAGGAUGGUAGAAUUCCAGGUGUAGCGGUGAAAUGCAUAGAGAUCUGGAGGAAUACCGAUGGCGAAGGCAGCCAUCUGGCCUAACACUGACGCUGAGGUACGAAAGCAUGGGGAGCAAACAGG